UUUAACAAAUAAUGGCUUCGAUGAAUCUUUUUAUCUUUGUCAAUCUUCAUCAAGACAUUACGAGAGCAUUUUUCCAAAAGAAAGUAUUCCACUUUCUGCCUGCGGUGAACUCUACCCAAGUGUGGUUGAUGAAAAAGUUGACAAAAUGCUCCACGAUGCUAUCGAUGAACUCACAGAAUCAUUCACAAAAGUUGAUGAUAAAAAAGAUGAAGAUGGUAAUUCAGCUGAGUUUUCUGAAGCACUCUCACAGUUAUCAUUGCAAUCAAAUAAUGAUCAACGCCAGAACACUCAUUUAAAUAAUCUUCGUCUUGGUGAUAGUAGUGAACAAAAUAAUCAUACUGGACAAUCAAA